GGCUAGCGUUGCUCGGAAUCACUGGGCGUAAAGGGUGCGUAGGCGGGUCUUUAAGUCAGAGGUGAAAUCCUGGAGCUCAACUCCAGAACUGCCUUUGAUACUGAAGAUCUUGAGUUCGGGAGAGGUGAGUGGAACUGCGAGUGUAGAGGUGAAAUUCGUAGAUAUUCGCAAGAACACCAGUGGCGAAGGCGGCUCACUGGCCCGAUACUGACGCUGAGGCACGAAAGCGUGGGGAGCAAACAGG
rnacentral:rRNA from 1 species